UGGCCAGUGAUGAAGUAACCAUUGUGCAGUCUUGAGUUUUGGGAACCAGGUAAUGGAGUGUGUUCCAAGAACGGACUGAGGGCC